AUUUUAAAUCAACGGCAGCUUAGGACGCAACCAGCACAUCGGCACCACCGCGUUUACAUUUGUGCGUCUACCUAAUAGGCCUGCACGCGACGCUCGGACGCCACGCGCCACCGCGCGACGGGCGCCGCUCACGCAGACCGCGCACCGCCGAGGCCGCUGCGCCACCACGCGGCGACUCCUCGCUCCGAGUCCCGUCGCCUCCCUCCGCUCUCAUUUUCCCGGCCACCACACGAAAAUGGCGGUGCGUUUCACACCCCCACACGUCAGAAAGUAUCAAGAUGGCGAGAAUAUGACGGAAAUGUGCAAGUUCGCGGAAGAAUGUUCGUGCAAAAUACUUGUCUUGUGUUGCCUGAUAGAAAAAAAAAAAAAAUGCAACCGCACACACAGCCGCGUGCAGCGUGACUUCCGAGAGCAGAACGCGGCCAUAAGUUAACGCUGCUGCAGCUCACACACCCUCCAGCCUCUUAAGGCCGCUGUCUCUGUGUUUCGACGCUUUUCACCGAAGGCAUGUGGAGCUCCUGCCGCGACCGGCCUCGCCGUCUUUCGGUUCUGUCCGGUCCGACCGAGCGGCUCGCUCCGGAGACAACGCCCAGGAGGAGAGGAGCUCGCGACUGCGGGAGCGCGCGCCCCGUUUCCAUGGCGACACGCGGCGCUAGCGGUCGCUCCCUCACGGAGCCGAAACCUUACGCAAUCAGUGGUUUAUUUUUGUUUUCAUCACCGACUAGUUCGAAACGAAUGAUCUUGGCCGUAUAUCAAAGGAGAGCAGUUUCUGUGAGGUUGUGCCUCCAAUUGCUACUUACAGUAAACGUGCUUCUGGGAGCCAUGGCAACAUACGGCAGGGAUGGAGGUGUGGAAGAAGGAAUCACACAGCGCUCCCUUCGGCUUCUCUGUCGGCCAUACUCCGGCCUGAUCAGUUACAUUAAAGUCAGCCAUAUGCGCACAAGCUUCUUCCAUUUCAGCAGUCAUUUGUGUGACUUGAUUCAUGGAUGUGAGCAAGAAGCUUACACCACAAAUCUUUCUGUGCUCAUUAUGGAUGGCAUAAUGGAUUGCCAUUUAAAACUGAAGCUGUAAAAGCUUGUAGGUUGACUGAACUGGAUGCAGACAUUAGAGAGGAUAUAUGGAUGAAGAAGUACAACUGCAAUUGUGCCACAAGGGUUCUGGGAUUUGAGAUGUGUGAUUAAAAAAAAAAGAAGUAAAGGUCUGCCUGUAGUCAUAAAGUAGAGCAUGUCGGGAUUCAUUACAUCAGGAGUACAUCUGGCCGUCUGAGGAGAGGACCACUGCAGGAUUAUGGACUUUGAUUUGUCACAUUGGUGCUACGAGCAGAUAUGGUUGACAGUUCUCUCGGCAGACCCGUAACCCUGCAGACACGGCGUCCGAAACAUCUCACACGGGGGCUAAAUCAAACCAUAGUGCACGGUUGCUCUGCGGGUGUUGUAUUGGGUGUGUGUCUUUUAUUCCGUCUCAGUUUAAACCGAUACUGUCAGUUUCCUUGAGCAUACGGCAGUCUACUGCAGUGAUAUUUACUGGACAGCUGUACAACCUCUCGUCCAGAGUCGGCCUCCUGGGAACGAAAAGCCACAGGGAACGUAUAGGGAACACAAGCUGUCUGUUCCUUUUUCAGAAUCGGAGACCGUGGUUAAGCCCUCACCUUUUUUCUCUACGACGCUGGCACCGUGUCGUUUGGGGUUCAUUUAAUUUUUAACGCCACUAGUUUCCGUGAACUAGCUUAAGAACUUCUAUGCAGAGUGUGACUGGUUUCCAGCACAUUAUUGCAUAUGUGGUAAAACAAUAAUGUUUCGAUGUUUCAUAGCUCUUGUUAUAAAUACUUAGUGAAGGUGUCAAAACACUGCUGCUCCGGAGAUGUACGCAGCGGUUGACCUGUGGGUCAGAGUUCAGAGAGGAGAGGUCAGCCUGCGGGGGACGUGAGCACUUGAUAUAUGAGGCUCCUGAGUGUGCCGUGUGACCGGUUGCUAUUGGUUCGAAAGCGGUCCUUUGUUCCCCUGCGUUCUGGAAGUCUUCCUCCCGCUGGGGACUCAGCUGUCGUGAUUGGCUUUGCCCCACGGUGUUAUAUAACAGCUUUCAGAGGGAGUGUUCAGGUCUGCAGCAGCCAUGUGCACUCACCUGCUUUUUAUUCAGUGGGGCCUGGUGGCAGGGUGCAGGUUUAAAGCCGGAUACAUACGUACACGCAUGUAUGGCGGGACAACAGAAACGCUCCCUCGUAAAUUUACGUACACGUCACGUAUCAGUCUACGUGCUUGCCAGCCAGCGUUCGUCCGUGCACUUCGGCCCUCCUUAUCGAAAUAAUGACAUGCUGAAUAUUUUGUUAUGAAUGUACUUGUUUAGUUAUAUUUCAUUGGUUUCUGAAAAAUCUAUUUAUUACAUUUCAUGCAGAAUUAUAAGAAUAAAUAAUCAUUUGUGGAUUUAUCGAGGAAUUUU
ensembl:lncRNA